rnacentral:rRNA from 1 species
AUCAGCCUUUCGUGUGCGAUUCUGUGGAGUUUGAGGAGCUUAACACCUUCAUGCUUUGCAUAUUCGUGCUCUUGGGUGUACUUGCCCGUGUGGUUGGUUAACAUCAAUUUCGGGCACCAUAAAAUGGCUGGAGGAAUGUAGCUUUGAUCUUGUAUUGAAGUGUUAUAGCCUUCGGUAGAUGUGGUGAUCGAGAUUGAGGAUUGCAACGGAUACCUUUCGGGGCUACCUGUCUGAUCUCUGAUCGUUGCUUUGGUGCUGAAAGCGUGCUUAUAGUUAUCAAAGUCGAUGGUCAAUAGGUUAGAAUGGGUUAAAUUCGUUAAGGAUGUUGACGUAAUGGCUUU